rnacentral:rRNA from 1 species
UGGGGAAUUUUGGACAAUGGGCGAAAGCCUGAUCCAGCAAUGCCGCGUGAGUGAAGAAGGCCUUCGGGUUGUAAAGCUCUUUUGUCAGGGAAGAAACGGUGAGAGCUAAUAUCUCUUGCUAAUGACGGUACCUGAAGAAUAAGCACCGGCUAACUACGUGCCAGCAGCCGCGGUAAUACGUAGGGUGCAAGCGUUAAUCGGAAUUACUGGGCGUAAAGCGUGCGCAGGCGGUUUUGUAAGUCUGAUGUGAAAUCGCCGGGCUCAACCUGGGAAUUGCAUUGGAGACUGCAAGGCUAGAAUCUGGCAGAGGGGGGUAGAAUUCCACGUGUAGCAGUGAAAUGCGUAGAUAUGUGGAGGAACACCGAUGGCGAAGGCAGCCCCCUGGGUCAAGAUUGACGCUCAUGCACGAAAGCGUGGGGAGCAAACAGGAUUAGAUACCCCUGUAGUCCCUGAGCGGGCUGGCAAGGCGCAU